rnacentral:rRNA from 1 species
GACGAACGCUGGCGGCGUGCUUAACACAUGCAAGUCGAACGGAAAGGCCCUGCUUUUGUGGGGUGCUCGAGUGGCGAACGGGUGAGUAACAAGUGAGUAGCCUGCCCUUGACUUUGGGAUAACUUCAGGAAACUGGGGCUAAUACCGGAUAGGAGCUCCUGCUGCAUGGUGGGGGUUGGAAAGUUUCGGCGGUUGGGGAUGGACUCGCGGCUUAUCAGCUUGUUGGUGGGGUAGUGGCUUACCAAGGCUUUGACGGGUAGCCGGCCUGAGAGGGUGACCGGCCACAUUGGGACUGAGAUACGGCCCAGACUCCUACGGGAGGCAGCAGUGGGGAAUAUUGCACAAUGGGCGGAAGCCUGAUGCAGCAACGCCGCGUGCGGGAUGACGGCCUUCGGGUUGUAAACCGCUUUCGCCUGUGACGAAGCGUGAGUGACGGUAAUGGGUAAAGAAGCACCGGCUAACUACGUG